ACAUGAGUUACACCAAGCUCAGUAUGUGAGGUACAAGGCAAUAUGUCAGGGCCUUCUGCCCGGGCAUUGGGUUUGAGGAGUGGCUGACUGAUCCUCUUUGGAAUGAGUUGGGUCAGGCCUGUUUGUCUACAGUUUCCAUGAACUUACGGAAGAUCUGGGUCCAUUAGAAGCCGUGUCCCCAGUUAGCUCUGCAGACCCUGGAGAGUUGAGCACCAAAUCCAGCUCUAUUACCCUUCCAGGAAGUCUCCAUCCAUUCUCCUCAUCUGAGAAGCUGAAUUUAUGCAGGGAUUUCCAGUAGUAAGAGGCUUAGCUCUAUCUUUAUUGGCAGCAGGCUGCAUACUUUUGAUAAGUUAGUCUCUUGUUGCCACCAGUGGAAUGAACAGGGAAAUGCACCUAUGUACCUGCAAAAGUCUGUAGUGUGUACAGCCUUGAACUUAAUGGCUCUGCAGUAGAGGGUGAUGGGUCACAAACAGUUUUAAUCCAUCCACUAAUAGACCUAGGUACUAUCCUAAACUUUGUAAAUUGGCCUAGAGCUUCUGUGGGAAACAUUGGUGAUUAGCUUUUUCUUGAGGAACCUUUCUUUCAUGAACCUGGGGUGACCUAUGUAGUGCAUUUGAUGGAACAAAAUCAUUCUACCAUCAAAUGCCUCUACCAAAUAGCUGGUAAGCUGUGACUCCACCAUUUAUUGGGGCUAACAAAUGGUAGAGAUCUAUUCCAGAUACUUCCAGCCCAGUAGAAAUAAUCCUAAAAAUAUCCAAAUCCUGCUCUAUUGUUUCAGUUCUCUCUAUAGGGCCCCAAGAGGAGAUCUAGACAUAGCACAAUUAAAGGCUUCUAAGUACUUCUUUAGGGCUGAGCCCACUCUUUCAUUAGGGUUUUAGAAGAGUUGGUUAGUAUAGAUAAACUUGGUCUGAAGGUCCAAGUGGGACAUUCUAUGUCCGCGUAUCUAAAUGUUAGGCUUUUUACAUCCACUGAUUUUUUGCAUGGUAUAAGCACUCAAAGCAGCGAGCAGUAUAAACAAAGAAAAGAGUGGAGGAGAGAGGAGAAAAUGGUUUCCAAGAAAAACAUUGAAACAAUGUGAGAAAGGGUACCUCAGAGGACAGAGCCAGGAACUGUAGAGAACAAUGAACUGGGGAUCUUUCCCAUCCCCUACCCCCUCUCAGUUUGCUGCCCCUUCCCCUGGGAACAGAACUAAGGUCUAAUCAAGAAACAUUUCUGGCUCCCAUGUCAGGGGAACUUGACUGAUUUCCCUAGAGGGAUUUUAGAAUUGUUAAAGACUAAGUUUCAUCUCUUUGAAUGGGGAUGUUUAUUGUGAUUUUCCUGUUCCUGUUAUACCAUUGCAUAUUCCUAUGGGUAUGGGGAAGGAAUGGGCCAAUAAUUUGUCUUUUUAGUUCAUAGGUCCAAUUCACAUCUGGACCAGAUGUAGAUGAUGAAAUCCUAAAUGUGUCUGAUACCAUGAUUAUUGGGUGAAGACUUCUGGGUGUCCUUUGUUGGUAAUGGAGAUGUUUUCCUAGAGGAGGGAUGUGAACAUGUGGCCAAGGAGGUGGACAGCUGUUGACUGAAUUAUUGGCCCAAGUUUGUUAUGUCUUUCUGCCCUACAUCAUUAUCAUGGCCCUAUCAUGGGCAGAGUAUACUUCCCUGCCUUGUGACCUUGGGCUUGGCCUCUUGCUUUGAUCAAUGAAAUAGGGCUGAAAUGAUAGUGUCAAUUUUUAGUUAAGGUCUCAAAAGACUUUGAGUGUUUCUUCUGGUCUUCUGUGCUUCUGCCAUUGCUUGAGAAGAACAUGCCCCAGGAAGCCCUCUGGUUCAGAAAGGAUGAAAGACCAUGGAGAAGACUCAGACCCGCACACCUGCAGAACAAAGCAGAGAUGCCCAGUCUAGUUGGAGAGACCUCUGAAGCAGCACCAGAGUCGGAAGGAAGAAGAGUGGGCCGGCUGGAAAAGAUGAAAGCCAAAGGCCCGACAAAGCACCGAGAAGAAUUCAGCUGCAUGUCAUGAGGAUGCUUAAGCAACCUAUAGAGCGGUUCAUGUAUGAGAACCUGAAGCCUCCUGCCAACAGCCAGCACUAACCUGAGAGCCGUGUGAGUGAGCUCCUCUGGAAGUGAUCCUCCAGCACCAGUCAAGCCUUCAGAUGACCACAACCCAGGUUGGCAUCUUGACUACAACCUAAUGACACUCUGAGCCAGAACUACUCAGAUAAGCCACUCCUCGAUUCCUGACCCAUAGAAACUGUGUGUGAUAAUACAUGUUCAUUGUUUUAAGCUACUAAUGUUUCGGGGUAAUUUGUUACACAGCAUUAGAUAGCUAAUAUAAUGUGUGACAGGCUUGUCUCACCAAAUAGAUUAUAAGCGUCUUGAAGAAAAGAAC